GCUGGGUGGUAUAGCUCAGUGGUAGAGUACUUGCUUAGCAAGCAUGAUGUCCUGGGUUCAAUUCCCAGCACCAGCA